rnacentral:rRNA from 1 species
AGUGAACGCUGGCGGUAGGCCUAACACAUGCCAGUCGAACGGCAGCACGGUAAGAGCUUGCUCUUACGGGUGGCGAGUGGCGGACGGGUGAGGAAUACAUCGGAAUCUACUUUUUCGUGGGGGAUAACGUAGGGGAACUUACGCUAAUACCGCAUACGACCUACGGGUGAAAGCAGGGGAUCUUCGGACCUUGCGCGAUUGAAUGAGCCGAUGUCGGAUUAGCUAGUUGGCGGGGUAAAGGCCCACCAAGGCGACGAUCCGUAGCUGGUCUGAGAGGAUGAUCAGCCACACUGGAACUGAGACACGGUCCAGACUCCUACGGGAGGCAGCAGUGGGGAAUAUUGGACAAUGGGCGCAAGCCUGAUCCAGCCAUACCGCGUGGGUGAAGAAGGCCUUCGGGUUGUAAAGCCCUUUUGUUGGGAAAGAAAAGCAGCAGGUUAAUACCCCGCUGUUCUGACGGUACCCAAAGAAUAAGCACCGGCUAACUUCGUG